rnacentral:rRNA from 1 species
AGAACCUACGGGGCGCAGCAGUGGGGAAUAUUGCACAAUGGGCGAAAGCCUGAUGCAGCAACGCCGCGUGAAGGAAGACGGUUUUCGGAUUGUAAACUUCUAUCAAUAGGGAAGAAAGAAAUGACGGUACCUAAAUAAGAGGCCCCGGCUAACUACGUGCCAGCAGCCGCGGUAAUACGUAGGGGGCAAGCGUUAUCCGGAUUUACUGGGUGUAAAGGGAGCGUAGGUGGCAUGGUAAGCCAGAAGUGAAAACCCGGGGCUCAACCCCGCGGAUUGCUUUUGGAACUAUCAGGCUGUAGUGCUGG